UGUUGUCGCAUCAAAAUGAUUGAUUAGUAAGUAUUUGAUUAACAGGUAGCACAACCAUCACGUGUUUAGAUGACAUAGGUACCACGUAGCUCUGCUAAUAUUAAAAUGUUGUUAGUUGAGACUGACUAUGGUGAACACUGUGAAGUUACAGAAAAUUAAAUUACAUAAAUUUGAUUUCUUAAUAUCUUGGCAGAAUUUAUCAACUCUUGACUUAGACGAUCAAACAAUGUCGAAAGUUCGAGUGUCAAUUUGUAUAAGGUAAUUUUUUAAGUCUAACCACGCCUCAUAAAUAAAAGUUAAAAGUAUGAUAUAUUUGUCAGUAAACUCGUGUUAAUUUCCCUUUAUCUGUGUCAUUAAUUGCGUUAUUACUAAAAAGGCUAGCUUUUUAAUCUUGAAAUGUUUACUAGAUUUAAAAGAUCCGUUAGGACGAUUCUCAUCAACUGUUUCUGAUAUACAUUAUUAUUUCUGUAUACUGUAUUAUAAUUGCUCAUACCGUUUUUGUAUUUACUAUCUGUAUGCUAAAUUGUAAUUACAACCAAUUUUAAACCGUCGGGUGCUCGCUUAAUGAUUCCCGUCUCAUGCUACUGUAGUAUAGUUGUACAAUCGUAAUUAAUUAUUGCACUAUAGUUGUAAGUAAAAUAUUCAAAUGUAUGUGCGCUCUGACUGUGACACGUUUAACUAAUAAAAAUGAGUUUCGAUCCGAAUAAAUAACAAAUUCUUGUCCUAUGUACCUCGCGAACAGAUUCAAAUACGUUUAUAACGUUAUGCUAAUGCCAAACCGUGCGGUUUCCCUUGAACUUAAAUGAUUUGUGAUGCAACGAUAUCACUAUUAUUUUAUUCAAAUUAAAAGUAUUCAUUUUUUGUCACUCGUCGUCUUUGUACAGUGGUCAUAACAGAAGCCAGUCAAUGCACAAGAUAUACCACUUAAACGCACUUGACAUAAUAUACCCAGUUCGAUCAGAGAGCACUCGGUCUGUAACCUUUUUCAUGACCGUGUAGUCUUCCUGAUGUGUGUCGACUCAAGGUCACUACGGGCAAUUUAUCUUCAGUAAAUAUCAAAGUGCUCAUUGAGUGAAUUACUAUUGAAUGCCACGUGACGUUAUAAAUUGGACAUCAACUCGUCCUUGGUAUCUUAGCGAAGAUGUCGACUUCCGGACAAAUUUUCAUUUGAUCGAUUCCUAUUGAGUGAUCGCAUUAAAUAUAUCAUCGAUAGUCAACUAGGUCCAAUGAGCGAUGCAGCGAUGACAUCUCUAAAGUUCAAUGAAACUCACAUGUCUCAGUGAGAUUAAACUAAUAAAAAUAACGGGAAUCGUUUUUGAAUAAUUCUUCAUCAAGUAAAAAAAAAAAUUUGUUAUGUAACGUUUUUUUAAAACACAUUGUUUAUAAUUUAUAUUCUAGUUUCAAAUUUUUGCUAUUUUUGUAUUUAAUGUUAGUAUUAUCAGUUUCAUGUUAAUUAAAACAUUUUAAAGAAUAUAUAA